rnacentral:rRNA from 1 species
UAGGGAAUCUUCGGCAAUGGACGGAAGUCUGACCGAGCAACGCCGCGUGAGCGAAGAAGGUUUUCGGAUCGUAAAGCUCUGUUGUAAGAGAAGAACGAGUGUGAGAGUGGAAAGUUCACACUGUGACGGUAUCUUACCAGAAAGGGACGGCUAACUACGUGCCAGCAGCCGCGGUAAUACGUAGGUCCCGAGCGUUGUCCGGAUUUAUUGGGCGUAAAGCGAGCGCAGGCGGUUAGAUAAGUCUGAAGUUAAAGGCUGUGGCUUAACCAUAGUAGGCUUUGGAAACUGUUUAACUUGAGUGCAAGAGGGGAGAGUGGAAUUCCAUGUGUAGCGGUGAAAUGCGUAGAUAUAUGGAGGAACACCGGUGGCGAAAGCGGCUCUCUGGCUUGUAACUGACGCUGAGGCUCGAAAGCGUGGGGAGCAAACAGGAUUAGAUACCCUGGUAGUCCACGCUGUAAACGAUGAGUGCUAGGUGUUAGACCCUUUCCGGGGUUUAGUGCCGUAGCUAACGCAUUAAGCACUCCGCCUGGGGAGUACGACCGCAAGGUUG